rnacentral:lncRNA from 9 species
UAUACUAUGUAUUAUGUAACAUAAAACAUUUAUAAUAUAUAUAAUUUUAUAUAUGUACCUAAAAAUAAAAAUCAGAAUGUUUGUAGCCAACUCUGCAAAGUGAUAAUGUAUUUUUUUAAGAAAAAUCUUUAAACACAAACUAUUUUAAACACAUAAUUAAAUGUUUUUUUAAACUAUAAAAAACAUGAAGCAGCUUAUUAAAUAAAACUGUUUAGCUCAUGACCUCACCUAAACUCACAUACUACUCAGCAAUUACUAAUCAGCUUCCUUCAAAACAGGACCCUGGCAGUAAGCACCUGCAAGCACUAAUGAAGGCAACAAUUCAUAACCAAGAUUGUCCUUCAGAAUCGUCUAAAGGAUUUCAGUACACACGUGGACCAGAAGUCCAAGCCAGAGCUCCCAGAGAAGAAUUUUCAAGCACCCCCCUCCCACAAAAGUGGUGAGAGUAUCAUAGAAUAAAUCAUCACCAGGUAAGCUAGCUUGAGACAUGGCAUAUACACCUAUUGAUAUAAAUAUCUUAAUUUCUUUCUGCAUUAGUUUUUUUUAAUCUAUAUGAUACACAAUAUUAUUUCCUUAGCUUCAUUGUAGAGCUGUUGUUCAGAUUAAAUAUUCAAUAUUCAUAAGCAUUAUUUUCAAAAUUAAAAAUCCAAUACAUUAUUAACUAUUAUUUUAUAUUAAUUUUAAAUUACAACGGAGCAACCACCUCAAAAUUUGACAAAAGUAAUCCAUGUCUCAGUAGUUUUUUUUUUGUUGUUAUUGUUUUUUGGCCCAGCUGCAGCAUGCAAAAGAGAAGAUCCAGGGCCAGGAAUCGAACACAUAACACAGGGCCCUGAGCCAUUGCAUGAUAACACUGGAUCCAAACCCACUGCACCACAGGAGAACUCCCCAAUGGUAUUUUAUAGUAUUUUGGUUUAACAAAACCCAAAGAAAAUGGCUCUAUUUCUUUUUUUUUUUUAAUUUUAUUGAAGUAUAGUUGAUUUACAAAGUUGGAUCAUUGUGUUAAUUUCUGCUAUACAGCAAAAUGAUUCAGCUGUACAUUCUUUUUCAUAUUCUUUUCCAAUACAGUUUUUCACAGGAUAUCGAAUAUUAUUUCCUGUGUAUAGAGUAGGGCCUUGCUGUUUUUCCAUCCUCUGUGUGAUAGUUUGCAUCUGCUAAUCCCAAACUCCCAGUCCUUCCACCUCCCCUCCUUAUACCUUGGCAACCACAAGUCUGUUCUCUAAAUCUGUGACUCUGUUUCUAUUUUGUAGAUAGGUUCAUUUGUAUUGUAUUUUAGAUUUCACAUAUGAGUGAUAUCAUAUGGUAUUUGUCAUUCUUUUUUCUGACUUAUUUUAUUAUUAUAAUCUCCAGGCCCAUCCAUGUUCCUGCAAAUGACUUUAUUUCAUUCUCUUUUGUGACUGAGUAGUACUCCGUGUGUGUGUACCACAUUUUCUUUAUUCAUUCAUCUGUCAAUGGAUAUUUAGGUUGUUUCCAUGUCUUGGCUAUUGUAAUUAGUACUUCUAUGAGCAUUGGGGUGUAUUAUCUUUUCAAAUUAUAGUUUUGUCUGGAUAAAUGCCCAGGAGCAGGAUUGCUAUAUCAUACAGUAUUUCUAUUUUUAGUUUUUUGAGGAAGCUCUAUAAUGUUUUCUGUAGUGGCUGCACCAAUUAACAUUCCCACCAACAUUGUCGAAGAGUUUCCUUUUCUCCAUGCCCUCUCCAUCAUUUCCCUUAAUUGCUGACUUUUUAAUGAUGGCCAUUUUGAUUGGUAUGAGAUGGUACCUCAUUUUAAUUUUAAUUUGUAUUUCUAAAAUAAUUAGUGACGAUGAACACCUUCUCAUGUACCUGUUGACCAUCUGAAUGUCUGAUUUGGAGAAAUGUCCAUUUAGGUCUUCUGCCCAUUUUUUGACUGGUUUGUUUGCUUUUUUAAUUUUUUAUUAAAGUAUAGUUGAUUUACAAUGUGUUAGCGUCUUCUGUAUAGCAUGAUAGUUUGUAUUUUGUAUAGAGUUGUAUGAGCUAUUUGUAUAUUUUGGAAACUAAGCUCUUAUCAGUCACAUCAUUUGCAAACAUUUUUUCUUAAUCCAUAGGAAAUUUUUGUAUUUUCAUUUUGUUAAUGGUUUCCUUUGUUCUGCAAAAGCUUAUGCUUGUGUUAGGUCCUAUUUAUUUAUUUAUUUAUUUAUUUAUUUUUUAUUACCUUGGGAGACUGACCUAAGAAAAUCUUGGUGUGAUUUAUGCCAGAGAAAGUUUUGCCUGUGUUCUCUUCUGGGAGUUUUAUGGUGUCAUGUCUUUAAGUCUGUAAGCCAGAAAAUGUCUCCAUUUUUAAAACAUUAGUAAAAUGUAGUACAUUUGUAAUAAUUCUGCCAUCAAGUAUCCUUCCUCCACAAUUUUACAUUCAGGAUUGCAUUUUCAAAACUCCCUAAAAGAAAGCUCAUUGAAUUGUCCAUUUUCAAAUUUAUGUAUAAUCUGAAACACUACAAUAGCCUGAAAUCUCUCUUCUUUUCAAUUAACUAAUUUUAUUGUCCCACAAACUGUGACUAGACUUUAGCUAUUUAUGUUGAAAAUAAGCAUGCUCAUGCAGUAUAUCAUCCUUCAAGAACUAUAAUCUGUGUAUUAAAUAUAAAGUGAUUUGUUGUAUCAGUUGAGAUGCUUGUAGCUGAAUAAAUGCCUCAAAUUGACUGAAUAAGAAAACAUUUAUUUUCUAACAUAACAGAAAUGUACAAUUGGUCUGGGACUAUUAGACACAUUGGUGCAAGGAUAUUCUCAAAGGCAUGAGGUUCUUUUCACCUCUUUUUUUCUACCAUGUUCAGUUGGAGUUUAUGCUCAUGGCUACAAGAAGGCUCUAGUAGACUCAGAUGAAGUAUUAGAUAUGAAGAAUCCAGGUGAAGAAAGGGACUACCUCUUUCCAUAUAAACACAUAAAGCUUUUGCUCACAAUUCAUUUGCGAGGAUAGAUUUAUAUGAAAAACACUGCCGAGAGGAAUAGGUUCACCAUAUUGACUGAGGUAAAUUAUUUAGAGUUGGAAGGAUGUUGAAAAGUCAACCAGAAAAAUCACUUAAAUUGUAUACUGUUUCAUUAUUUUCAUACAGUCAUCCUGUGCAUAAAUCUUAAGAUAAAAAUACAGGCUCCUGAGAUUCAUAUUUUUAUAUUCAGAAGCAAUUUUGUACUCCAGAUUAGCAC